UACGUAGGUGGCAAGCGUUGUCCGGAUUUAUUGGGCGUAAAGCGAGCGCAGGCGGAAAAAGAAGUCUGAUGUGAAAGCCCUCGGCUCAACCGAGGGAUUGCAUCGGAAACUGAUUUUCUUGAGUGCAGAAGAGGAGAGUGGAACUCCAUGUGUAGCGGUGGAAUGCGUAGAUAUAUGGAAGAACACCAGUGGCGAAAGCGGCUCUCUGGUCUGUCACUGACGCUGAGGCUCGAAAGCAUGGGUAGCAAACAGG
rnacentral:rRNA from 1 species